rnacentral:lncRNA from 1 species
UGCAGGAGUGAUGAGGGAAAAAGGAAGGACCACCUGAGGCUGACAAGCCCUGGAACCCCAACCCUCCAUUUACCGAGAAGUGCCUAAAGGUCAUGGGUGGCAUCCUGGGUGGUGAAGCACCUGUUACUUGGAAGUACUAAUGCUCCAUGGUCGUCAUCACCUUGCCAAGCCUAGCUCCUCCUAGGUCCAUGGUUGGAUCUGCAUGUCCCAGGUAGGUCAUCAGAUGUCAGAGCACUGUGGCUUUGGGAGACAGCCUGGAACAUUAUCCAGGU